UGGGGAAUAUUGCACAAUGGGCGCAAGCCUGAUGCAGCCAUGCCGCGUGUGUGAAGAAGGCCUUCGGAUUGUAAAGCACUUUAAGUUGGGAGGAAGGGUACUUACCUAAUACGUGAGUAUUUUGACGUUACCGACAGAAUAAGCACCGGCUAACUCUGUGCCAGCAGCCGCGGUAAUACAGAGGGUGCAAGCGUUAAUCGGAAUUACUGGGCGUAAAGCGCGCGUAGGUGGUUUGUUAAGUUGGAUGUGAAAGCCCCGGGCUCAACCUGGGAACUGCAUCCAAAACUGUCAAGCUAGAGUAUGGUAGAGGGUGGUGGAAUUUCCUGUGUAGCGGUGAAAUGCGUAGAUAUAGGAAGGAACACCAGUGGCGAAGGCAGGUUACUACUAAUGGAUUGACGCUGAUGGACGAAAGCGUGGGGAGCGAACA
rnacentral:rRNA from 1 species